GGGGAGUACGAUCGCAAGAUUUAAACUCAAAGGAAUUGACGGGGCCCCGCACAAGCAGCGGAGCAUGCGGCUUAAUUCGACGCAACGCGAAGAACCUUACCAAGGCUUGACAUAUACAGGAAUAUGGCAGAGAUGUCAUAGCCGCAAGGUCUGUAUACAGGUGGUGCAUGGUUGUCGUCAGCUCGUGUCGUGAGAUGUUGGGUUAAGUCCCGCAACGAGCGCAACCCUCGUUCUGUGUUGCCAGCAUUUAGUUGGGGACUCACAGGAGACUGCCGGGGUUAACUCGGAGGAAGGUGGGGAUGACGUCAAAUCAUCAUGCCCCUUAUGUCUUGGGCUGCACGCAUGCUACAAUGGCUGGUACAAACGGCUGCAAUACCGCAAGGUGGAGCGAAUCCGAGAAAGCCAGUCUCAGUUCGGAUUGGGGUCUGCAACUCGACCCCAUGAAGUCGGAGUUGCUAGUAAUCGUAGAUCAGCAACGCUACGGUGAAUACGUUCCCGGGGCUUGUACACACCGCCCGUCACGUCACGAAGUCGGUAACACC
rnacentral:rRNA from 1 species